AGGGCCGUAGCGCAGAGGUCGUCGCACCGCCUUGACGGGGCGGGGGACGCCGGUUCGAUUCCGGCCGGCCCUG
rnacentral:tRNA from 1 species